GAGGCCUCCCCGUUCGCCUCCCAGAGGCCGCCACUUUCUUCAGGGCUAUCAGAUGAAGGCAGCAACGAAAACACCACCACAAGACCAACUUCAGGCUGGAGCUGAUGAUGCCACACAGAAAAUAGACUCUACUUAGAAAUGAAACUCAACUAAAGGUAAAAGUUGUCAGGAACAUCUCCAAGAAAGCCAGAGUCAGCCUCUAAACUUUGCAUCAAGAACGCAAUGGCUUCCCUGAGGGCCCAGGGACGCGUGGCAGCUGUGAGGCAGCCCCUUCUCUGCUGUCGAGGAACUGGACACUUCUCCUGUCCCUUCCCACAAGGUAUAAUAUUAGGCAGAAACCCAAUAUAAAAAGAAAAGCAGAGUUGUUGUAGAUUCAUCGAGGGUUGGCGACCUGGUUCCAAUGAGCCAUCUCCCUGUUCCGACAGGGGCUUCCUGGAGCUCCUGCAACCCCAGGCAUUAGUUCCGGUGCAGUUCUAGGAUCAGAUCAAUUCACUCGACAACAAGAGAAACAAAUGGAGAUUCCUACACAAAGACUUUCAAGCACAAAGAAAUCCUGCUGCCUGUAAAGCGGAGCUGCCUCAGCCCUUGAUGAACGACAGAAAAUCUCACAUUCCAGGAAUUCAGAUGAAGUGAAGUGCUCUCAUGGGGACCAGGCAUGGUUAUGCCAGUCCACUGCCCUGCAAGCCUCAAGGGAAGCCAACUGCCCUUCAGCAAGUCACACCUGCCUUGGUGGAGGCCUUGAUUGGAAGUGCCACACGCUACAUGUCCAGUCCUGAGCGGGAGAAUCGGUGUAGGGACGUUCUGGGGAUGCCAGCUGUGGCCAGAUCAGGUCCAACUACAGAAGAAUAAUGAAGACUCCACCUGAGGGCUGGAAAAACAAAACCUCAAGUGUGAGGCAGCCAACCUGUUACCUCGAGGGACUGUUCCGCAGCACAGCGGGGCCAUGGGAACAGCAGCAGACACCCCGACCUCCUCGCUACCUAUCAACUAUGGCCUGAGUAUGAUAGACUUAUCCAUGGUUUAAACAGAAUAUAUUGUUUUCAACUUUGAAAAUAAGAAUAUGGAAAUCCAGAUGCAGAAAUGUGAGAAGAAAAGAGAGUAAACAGAGUGGAAGGUCAGGUGACCUUGCCUGUCAUGAAUAUGAAGGUCAAGGUGUGUGAAUUGUGAAAUUUCCAAGAGAACCUCACUGAAGCAAAGAAUGAAGAAAGAAUUGCAUUUGGCCCUGGGAGGGUGCAGGGGUGAAUGGUGCAGGAGCUAAAUCUUUAUCAUACCCAGAAAUCAACAGCCACUAUUUGAAAU
rnacentral:lncRNA from 1 species